UACGUAGGGGGCAAGCGUUGUUCGGAAUCACUGGGCGUAAAGGGCGCGUAGGCGGCCAUAUAAGUCGGGGGUGAAAGCCUGUGGCUCAACCGCAGAAUUGCCUUCGAUACUGUAUGGCUCGAGACCGGAAGAGGUAAGUGGAACUGCGAGUGUAGAGGUGAAAUUCGUAGAUAUUCGCAAGAACACCAGUGGCGAAGGCGGCUUACUGGUCCGGUUCUGACGCUGAGGCGCGAAAGCGUGGGGAGCAAACAGG
rnacentral:rRNA from 1 species